AUUGAACGCUGGCGGCAGGCCUAACACAUGCAAGUCGAACGGUAACAGGAAGCAGCUUGCUGCUUUGCUGACGAGUGGCGGACGGGUGAGUAAUGUCUGGGAAACUGCCUGAUGGAGGGGGAUAACUACUGGAAACGGUAGCUAAUACCGCAUAACGUCGCAAGACCAAAGAGGGGGACCUUAGGGCCUCUUGCCAUCGGAUGUGCCCAGAUGGGAUUAGCUAGUAGGUGGGGUAACGGCUCACCUAGGCGACGAUCCCUAGCUGGUCUGAGAGGAUGACCAGCCACACUGGAACUGAGACACGGUCCAGACUCCUACGGGAGGCAGCAGUGGGGAAUAUUGCACAAUGGGUGCAAGCCUGAUGCAGCCAUGCCGCGUGUAUGAAGAAGGCCUUCGGGUUGUAAAGUACUUUCAGCGGGGAGGAAGGGAGUAAAGUUAAUACCUUUGCUCAUUGACGUUACCCGCAGAAGAAGCACCGGCUAACUCCGUG
rnacentral:rRNA from 1 species